GCCCGAGCCCUCACCUCCGGUCGUUUCUCUUCUCUUUCCCAAUGGGCGUGCCGACGCCGCCCUCACGUCGGUUCCUCUCCUCCCCUCGCGUACAAAACUGCCGACCAGAGGAGGCUUCGAGCCCUCCUUCCUCUUCCUCUCCUCUUCUCCCAGAUCCUCACCACCCGAUCUCCUUCGCCCUCUCCUUUCUUUCGGCACCGUCAUAGACCAUCAUCACCCUCUUCCUCGUGAUUUCUUCUCUCUACAUCGCCUUCGACCACCGCGGGCUGAUGCUAGGUCAUCGCCGCCCUGAUGUCGCCACCAGUGCCCUAGUUUUCAUCGGAGAGAGAGAGAGAGAGAGAGAGAGCUGCCGGUUGGAGAUGAUGCCCCUGACAAUGAUUCCUGGGUAGCGACAGUAGCAAUACCGCCCGGCUAGCAAUCUUCUGUAGCUGCUCACCCUGGCUGUGGGUACUUGGGGAUGACAACAGCCCUAGCUCCAACCAAAUUCUUUCGGCAGCAAAAGGUUCCUUUCCAUUUCCAAAACUUUUGCUGCUGGAUUUGAGCCUUGUCACCCUUGCUGACCACUACUGGAAACAGUAAGCUAUUACCAAAGAGGAAGGAAGCCGAGUUUGCUUCUCUGGAUUUCAGCAGUAAAUUCUUCAAGAUUAGAGCAGCGCUGAGGCAUCAAAAAAUUUGGGAUUUGGAUUCGGGACGAGCACAUCGACAUAGAGGUUGAUUAGCUCGAUCUACAUUGGAGGCGGGUACCUUGACCUAUCUAUUUUGAUAUGUCUUGUUGAUAUAUUUAGUAUAUCUUAACAAGUAGUAAUAAUUAUGUUUAUAUUUGCAUCAUCAUGUCACUAUUUGUUUCUAAGCAUGAUUUGUUUGUUACUUGUUUAGCGUUCAUGCCCUAUUUACUAUUUAUGUUAUAGAGGUAGUGACAUGUCAUGCUCUAUGAUAUACCGGACUAGUUAGAUACCAUACCUGAUCGGUGUACCUAGAUCAUAUUAUUUGAUCCACGUAUAUGGUACAUGUUUAUAUGGAGGUAGAUAGGAUCAGGAUAUUUCUAUGUUUAGUGUCAUGCACAA